AUCUCCUGCAGGUCUAGUCAGACCCUCCUGCAUAGCAAUGGAAACACCUAUUUGUAUUGGUAACUAUAGAAGCCAGGCGAGUCUCCACAGCUCCUGAUCUAUGGGGUUUCCAAUGGGGCCUCUGGAGUCCCAGACAGGUUCAAUAGCAGUGGGUCAGGCACAUAUUUUAAACUCAAAAUUAGCAGGGUGGAGGCUGAGGAUAUUCGACUUUAUUAAUACAUGCAAGCUACAUAAUAUCCU